UGGAUCACCUCCUAACAGGGAGACAACACAAUGAUUUUGAUGCCUGAGUGUUUUUAUUCUUAGGCCGAGAUCCUGUCACCUUAGGUCGAUCGGUACCUCAGCUUUGAAGUUAAGACGAUACAGAAAUGUAUGGUGCUUGAUGGAGAUGUUCAGUUCCUAAACUUUGUCUAGGUCACACCCACAAGGGUUGAGUCUUCCUGGGCCAUUAGCUCAGGUGGUUAGAGCGCACCCCUGAUAAGGGUGAGGUCCCUGGUUCAAGUCCAGGAUGGCCCAUUCGGUGUUGGGGGUUUAGCUCAGUUGGUAGAGCGCCUGCUUUGCAAGCAGGAUGUCAGGAGUUCGAGUCUCCUAACCUCCACUGACCGAACUUAAUCUCCAUCUUCUGAUUGAUUGGAAGGUGAACUCGAGUGUGAGAGGUGUGAUUUAGAUGUGUCCGCUGGCAUGACCCCAGCUUCCUGUCAUUCCAAGAUUGAGUGAGCAAUCACGUUGAUUUUGGUUGAUAAGAUGCUGGGCUCGAACUGAGCGAUCAGUUUGAUGUCUAGCAGAACCUUGACGACUGCAUAGGUGAGUCUGGAAAGAAUAAAGCAUCUCUCAUGGAUGCAUCAUUUCUUUUUGGAAUGAUGUUGAUUCUUGAGCAAGAGCUGAGACUCCAUCACGUUCUUUUCAUUGUGUCGAGCAAUGAAGAGUUUGAUCAUUGAUUCAGCAAUGAAUCAGUGAGGAUCUGUUUCAACGACAGCAAGCGUGUUGGAGAUUAUAUGGUCAAGCUACAAAGGGCUCACGGUGGAUACCUUGGCACACAGAGGCGAUGAAGG
rnacentral:tRNA from 1 species